AUUGAACGCUGGCGGCAGGCCUAACACAUGCAAGUCGAGCGGCAGCGGAAAGUAGCUUGCUACUUUGCCGGCGAGCGGCGGACGGGUGAGUAAUGUCUGGGAAACUGCCUGAUGGAGGGGGAUAACUACUGGAAACGGUAGCUAAUACCGCAUGACCUCGCAAGAGCAAAGUGGGGGACCUUCGGGCCUCACGCCAUCGGAUGUGCCCAGAUGGGAUUAGCUAGUAGGUGAGGUAAUGGCUCACCUAGGCGACGAUCCCUAGCUGGUCUGAGAGGAUGACCAGCCACACUGGAACUGAGACACGGUCCAGACUCCUACGGGAGGCAGCAGUGGAGAAUAUUGCACAAUGGGCGCAAGCCUGAUGCAGCCAUGCCGCGUGUGUGAAGAAGGCCUUCGGGUUGUAAAGCACUUUCAGCGAGGAGGAAGGGUUCAGUGUUAAUAGCACUGUUCAUUGACGUUACUCGCAGAAGAAGCACCGGCUAACUCCGUGCCAGCAGCCGCGGUAAUACGGAGGGUGCAAGCGUUAAUCGGAAUUACUGGGCGUAAAGCGCACGCAGGCGGUUUGUUAAGUCAGAUGUGAAAUCCCCGAGCUUAACUUGGGAACUGCAUUUGAAACUGGCAAGCUAGAGUCUUGUAGAGGGGGGUAGAAUUCCAGGUGUAGCGGUGAAAUGCGUAGAGAUCUGGAGGAAUACCGAUGGCGAAGGCAGCCAUCUGGCCUAAUACUGACGCUGAGGUACGAAAGCAUGGGGAGCAAACAGG
rnacentral:rRNA from 1 species